UAGGGAAUCUUCCACAAUGGACGCAAGUCUGAUGGAGCAACGCCGCGUGAGUGAAGAAGGUCUUCGGAUCGUAAAGCUCUGUUGUUGGUGAAGAAGGAUAGAGGCAGUAACUGGUCUUUAUUUGACGGUAAUCAACCAGAAAGUCACGGCUAACUACGUGCCAGCAGCCGCGGUAAUACGUAGGUGGCAAGCGUUGUCCGGAUUUAUUGGGCGUAAAGCGAGCGCAGGCGGAAUGAUAAGUCNGAUGUGAAAGCCCACGGCUCAACCGUGGAACUGCAUCGGAAACUGUCAUUCUUGAGUGCAGAAGAGGAGAGUGGAACUCCAUGUGUAGCGGUGGAAUGCGUAGAUAUAUGGAAGAACACCAGUGGCGAAGGCGGCUCUCUGGUCUGCAAACUGACGCUGAGGCUCGAAAGCAUGGGUAGCGAACAGGAUU
rnacentral:rRNA from 1 species